AGAGGGUGCGAGCGUUAAUCGGAAUUACUGGGCGUAAAGGGUGCGUAGGUGGUUAGACAAGUCAGACGUGAAAUCCCCGAGCUCAACUUGGGAACUGCGUAUGAAACUGCAAGGCUCGAGGCCGGGAGAGGGUAGCGGAAUUCCCAGUGUAGCGGUGAAAUGCGUAGAUAUUGGGAGGAACACCAGUGGCGAAGGCGGCUACCUGGACCGGUUCUGACGCUGAGGCGCGAAAGCGUGGGGAGCAAACAGGAUUAGAUACCCUGGUAGUCCACGCCGUAAACGAUGGGUACUCGGUGUCGCGGGUAUCGACCCCUGCGGUGCCUUAGCUAACGCGUUAAGUACCCCGCCUGGGGAGUACGGUCGCAAGGCUG
rnacentral:rRNA from 1 species